rnacentral:rRNA from 1 species
AGAGUUUGAUCAUGGCUCAGGAUGAACGCUAGCGGGAGGCCUAACACAUGCAAGCCGAGCGGUAGAGAUUCUUCGGAAUCUUGAGAGCGGCGUACGGGUGCGGAACACGUGUGCAGCCUACCUUUAUCUGGAGGAUAGCCUUUCGAAAGGAAGAUUAAUACUCCAUAAUAUAUUGAUUGGCAUCAAUUGAUAUUGAAAGCUCCGGCGGAUAGAGAUGGGCACGCGCAAGAUUAGUUAGUUGGUGAGGUAACGGCUCACCAAGACGAUGAUCUUUAGGGGCCUGAGAGGGUGAUCCCCCACACUGGUACUGAGACACGGACCAGACUCCUACGGGAGGCAGCAGUGAGGAAUAUUGGUCAAUGGGUGCAAGCCUGAACCAGCCAUCCCGCGUGAAGGACGACUGCCCUAUGGGUUGUAAACUUCUUUUGUAUAGGGAUAAACCUACCCUCGUGAGGGUAGCUGAAGGUACUAUACGAAUAAGCACCGGCUAACUCCGUG